GACGAACGCUGGCGGCGUGCCUAAUACAUGCAAGUAGAACGCAGUUGCGAACGGGUGAGUAACGCGUAGGUAACUGCCUGGUAGCGGGGGAUAACAAUUGUAAACGAUAGCUAAUACCGCAUACUACCAGAUGGACCUGCGUUGUAUUAGCUAUUUGGUGGGGUAACGGCUCACCAAGGCAACGAUACAUAGCCGACCUGAGGGGGGGAUCGGGCAAAAUGGGACUGAGACACGGCCCAGACUCCUACGGGAGUCAAGAGUAGGGAAUCUUCGGCAAUGGGGGGAACGCUGAACGAACAACGCCGGGUGGGUGAAGAAGGUUUUCGGAUCGUAAAGCUCUGUUGUUAAGGAAGCGGUACUUAACCAGAAAGGGACGGCUAACUACGUGCCAGCCGCCGCGGUAAUAC
rnacentral:rRNA from 1 species